rnacentral:rRNA from 1 species
UACGAAGGGGGCUAGCGUUGCUCGGAAUUACUGGGCGUAAAGCGUGCGUAGGUGGUUCGUUAAGUCUGAUGUGAAAGCCCUGGGCUCAACCUGGGAAUGGCAUUGGAAACUGGCGACCUAGAGUGCGGUAGAGGGUAGUGGAAUUCCCGGUGUAGCAGUGAAAUGCGUAGAGAUCGGGAGGAACAUCUGUGGCGAAGGCGACUGCCUGGACCAGCACUGACACUGAGGCCCGAAAGCGUGGGGAGCAAACAGG